AAGGGAGACCUAAUUCCGGUAGGAGACGAAAAAAAAGUAGUCCCAACCAAGAAUCAAUCCCAAAAGGUCGGAGCGAGGCGAAAUUGGCUUUCAAACUAGGUUCUGGGUUCACACAAGACCUGAAUCAGGAACAAGGGCUAUUAGCUCAGGUGGUUAGAGCGCACCCCUGAUAAGGGUGAGGUCCCUGGUUCGAGUCCAGGAUGGCCCACCUGCACAGGUGGCAAAAACAAGAGAAGCGAGGAAUCAGCACCUUAUCUUAUCUAUAUAUAUAUAGGAGAGAAUGCUGGCUCUGAGUAAAGAGUCCAGAGGAACCUUGAAAACUGCAUAGAGCUAGGUGAAAAAGCCAAAAAAGAAGACCGCAA
rnacentral:tRNA from 1 species